AGGACGAACGCUGGCGGCGUGCUUAACACAUGCAAGUCGAACGGUAAGGCCCUUCGGGGUACACGAGUGGCGAACGGGUGAGUAACACGUGGGUGAUCUGCCCUGCACUUCGGGAUAAGCCUGGGAAACUGGGUCUAAUACCGGAUAGGACUCCUGGCUUCAUGGUUGGGGGUGUAAAGCUUUUGCGGUGUGGGAUGGGCCCGCGGCCUAUCAGCUUGUUGGUGGGGUAAUGGCCUACCAAGGCGACGACGGGUAGCCGGCCUGAGAGGGUGACCGGCCACACUGGGACUGAGAUACGGCCCAGACUCCUACGGGAGGCAGCAGUGGGGAAUAUUGCACAAUGGGCGCAAGCCUGAUGCAGCGACGCCGCGUGAGGGAUGACGGCCUUCGGGUUGUAAACCUCUUUCAAUAGGGACGAAGCGCAAGUGACGGUACCUAUAGAAGAAGGACCGGCCAACUACGUG
rnacentral:rRNA from 1 species